rnacentral:lncRNA from 1 species
UUUGAUAAACAAUUACUAUCAUACAUUACUUAAGAACAUGAUGAACAAACUUUCCAUAAAAAAUCAUAUCAUUCAUUCUCCUAAGAAUACGAUGAACGAACUUUCCAUAAACAAAUUCAAUUCAAGCAUAACUCGAUCAAAUUGAAUCAAAUCAGACAAAACAGUUCUUAUUGGACUGCCACAAAUCACAUCCUCACCUUAGCUGAAUCUCUAGGAUUCGAAGACUAUGAAUUUCCUGCAUUUCUGACGAAGAACUCUUUAGCUCCUCCCCGUUCGAUCCCUCUUCUCAAACUUCUAUCUCUACCAACUC